CUGCGCCGUACUCAUGGCACCAAUCGGAAUCACCGCAUCGAGGAUCAUCCUGCGUUGAGAAAGCACGACAAACAGUUGGAAGGCAUCAUUGCCAAACA
rnacentral:ribozyme from 1 species